rnacentral:misc_RNA from 1 species
CAGAGGUGGCAAACGGAAGCCGAGAUUAUUUUAAAAUUAAUUAUCUAAUCUCGUUCCUGUAGUCAAUUUAUAGCACACGCCGUCUAACGUACGAUAUUUAUCGUCUGCUUUAUAGAUAAAAGAUGGCAAAAGUUAUGCGUGCUGCAAGAAUACUAAAAUUUGGAGGACCAAAAGUUCUUCAAGUUCAAAAUGAUGUACCAGUUCCAAGUAUUUUGGAUAAUCAGGUUUUAGUACAAAUUAAAUCUGCUGGUGUAAAUCCUAUAGAUACGUAUAUUCGUGAGGGAGCAUCUGGAAAUCCUCAGUUGCCUUAUAUUCUUGGUAAAGAUGGUGCAGGUAUAAUUGAAGCUGUUGGGAAAAAUGUAAAAAAAGUAAAGGUUGGUGAUAGAGUCUUUGUUUGCAUUUUACCAACCAAUCGUCAAGGUACAUAUGCUGAAUAUGUUGCAGCGGAGGAAAAGGAAGUCUUUCCACUUUCUGAAAAAUUAACUUUUCAUCAAGGUGCUUCAAUUGGAAUUCCAUAUUUUACAGCUUUUAGAGCUUUAUUCCUAAAAGCAAAUGCUAAGAAAGGAGAAACUGUUCUUGUUCAUGGUGCAAGUGGUGCAGUGGGUUUAGCAGCUAUACAGAUGUGUAAACAUUAUGGCAUGAAAACUCUUGCUACUGCAGGAACUUCAGAAGGGAUAGAUUUAGUUCAGAAAAAUGGUGCUGAUUACGUUUUUUGUCAUAAAGAUAAAAAUUAUUUGGACGAAAUGAUGAAAGCAACUCAAAGUAAUGGAGUAGAUGUCAUCUUAGAAAUGUUAUCAAAUGUUAAUCUUGGGAAUGACCUCACCAUUUUAGCUCCUCGUGGAAGGGUAAUGAUAAUUGGCAGUAGGGGAGAUGUUGUGAUCAAUCCGAGAGCAAUGAUGUUUCCCGAAACAACUAUAACUGGAGUUGCACUGAUGUCUUCUUCUGAUGAAGAGUGGGAGAAAAUAGGGUCGGCAGUUUGUUCGGGUUUGGAAGAAGGUUGGUUAAAUCCAGUCAUCAAUAGAAUUUAUCCUUUAAAAAAUGUUGGAGAUGCUCAUCACGAUAUAAUUCAUUCAAAAGGAGCAAAAGGAAAUCUUGUCUUAUCAUUAGACUAAAUAACACUUAUGUUGAACUUUUUUAAUAAUUUUAUAUUAAAAAAAGUGAACACAUUAUGAAAAACGAUUUUAAAGUAAUGACAAGAUUUUACAUUAAAUAUAUAGAGAAUGAAAUUUGAUGAAAAAUAAUUAGGAGUUAGAGAUUUUCGAAAUUGAUUGUCAUGGGUUUAUCAAAAGAAAAGGAAAAAAACUAAAUCUUUUAAGUGCAUUUUAUUACUUCUGGGAUGAAUUUUUAUUUAAAUGACAAGAUAAAGAACAUUGUAUGUAGAAAACACUUAAUUUAUCAUUAAUAUAGUAAUUCAAUAAACUGAUUUUAUUUUUUAAUAGGAAAAAUACCUUGAAUCUUUGAAUUUUCAGCUUUUGAAUGACAAACAUAUUUUGGAGGUAAGUGCAAGAAAAUUCAAACGGCUCGCAGUUGCAAAUGAAUGAUUUGUUAACAUCUUUUUAAUUGUGAAUACAUUGACUGGAUACUACAGUGGUACUAAGAAAUAUUUCUCAUCUUGUACGCAUUUAAGUUGCCUCAUCUGAACCCGUGUCUUAUUUUUGAAACAAAAAAGAAGUGGAAUUUGGAUAGAUUCAAGAGUUAUGUGGAGAAUGAUUCUGGAGACUUCCCCUCCUGAAAUUAGCUGCUUAUGAUUUGUUAAACAUUAGUGUAUUAACAAAGAAUUCGUCAAAUUAUAAAUGUUGAAACUACAGCCAGAAAGAGGAUAAUCAUCCCAUGCAGCUAUUUGUAACAAAAAAUCUGUUACAAAAGUCAUCAUGCAUCCAAACUGACAACAACUAUAAUUUCAUCUCAUUGAAACAUCUCUAUCUCGUUUUUAUUUUUUUGUGUGCUUGGAAUAAAAGUUCUAUACUCCGACAAAACUUGAUAAUUAUUACAAAAGAAAGAUGAAUCGUCCAAUCCAAGAUCUUUGUGAUUAUCAUCAAGAUACUUUUCAUAAAAUGCAUUUCUGAUAACGCUGAAUAAUUGUUCUUUCGUCAA